GCCAGCGUGGUGUAGUGGUUUGAACCUUGGACUAUGACUCUGGAGACCAGUGUUUGAUUCCUGGCUCUGCCA